UGAGUAACGCGUGAGAAUCUGCCUUCAGGACGGAGACAACAGUUGGAAACGACUGCUAAGCCCCGAUGAACCGAAAGGUAAAAUAUUUAUAGCCUGAAGAUGAGCUCGCGUCCGAUUAGCUAGUUGGCGGAGUAAAAGCCCACCAAGGCGACGAUCGGUAGCUGGUCUGAGAGGACGAUCAGCCACACUGGGACUGAGACACGGCCCAGACUCCUACGGGAGGCAGCAGUUGGGAAUUUGUUCGCAAAAUGCGAAAGCCUGACGGAGCAAGACCGCGUGGGGGUCAAAGGCUCUUCAGUAGUAAACCUCUUUUCUCUGAGGUUCUUAGUUGAUCUAUCAGCCU
rnacentral:rRNA from 1 species